GUCUACAGCCAUGCUACCCUGAACAAGCCCUAUCUCAUCUGAUUUUAGAAGCUAAGCAAGGUUGGGCCUGGUUAGUACUUGGAUGGGAGACCACCUAGGAAGACUGUAGGCGUAAAAA
rfam:Pteropus alecto contig95179, whole genome shotgun sequence.